rnacentral:pre_miRNA from 1 species
GGACGUCAUGCCAGCCGGUGGCAUAGUUCUCGUGAAGCCCGGACGAGUACUAGCGUAUCCGCUGAGUACAGAUUAUCGAGACGUCG